rfam:Glycine max cultivar PI 437654 chloroplast, complete genome.
CUACGGACUUAAUUGGAUUGAGUCUUGGUAUGGAAACUUACCAAGUGAGAACUUUCAAAUUCAGAGAAACCCUGGAAUUCACAAAGGGCAAUCCUGAGCCAAAUCCUGUUUUCCGAAAACAAAGAAAAGUUCAUAAAGUGAUAAUAAAAAAGGGAUAGGUGCAGAGACUCAAUGGAAGCUGUUCUAACAAAAGGAGUUGACGAUUUUUCCUUUUUGCAUUAGGAAAAUAAUAGAAUCCUUCCGUCAAAAUUCCAGGAAUGGAUCAAAGAUAAACAUAUAUAUACUGAAAUAGUAUUUCAAUUGAUUAAUGAAGAUCCAUUUGUGAUAAAAAUAUUCACAAAUGAAAGAUGUGAAUCAAAUCAAUUCCAAGUUGAAGAAAAGAUGGAAUAUUCAUUGAUCAAAUUAUUCACUCCAUCAUAAUCUGAUAGAUCCCUUGAAGAACUGAUCCAUCAGACGAGAAUAAAGAUAGAGUCCUAUUCUACAUGUCAAUACCGA